CGUGUGAGGGGCCCUUUCAUGUUCAUUCUGUUCUUAGAGCUCCUGGACACUGGACGUUUUGCCAUCUCUCCUGGGCGCCUUUCCUCUUGAAAUACGUUGAGCUGACGCCUCCUGGAAGGUACUGAAGAGCGCACAGCGUGACGACCCAGCGCAUUUCUGGAUUUCUCCUGAUUGGGCGGAUCAUUCAGAUCAUCAUUUCUCAGCCAGGGUUCCUCCAGAGGUUACUAGACAAUCCUUGAGCAAAGUGCGAUUUGUGCCUCUCAGAAACUGCUGACAGCUUGUGUGGAACGAUCUCCAUUGGAGGAAGAUUAAAGGACACCAGCCAAUCUAGACAGAACACGUGUGAUGAGAUCCCAGGGAUGGGUUGGGCAAAUGUCCAGCAGAGGAUUCUGGGAGUCCGGGCAGCGCUCAUUCUGGCACUCGGCCAAACCCCUCCCGAUGGAUGCCUUUCUGUGUUGCUAUGGAGACCUUGAGAUGAGCGCAAAACUGACUCCACCCCAGGAAACACACUUAACCCCUUCCAAGGACCAGCGUGACAGAGCGAUCAUGUCCGCCGCAGUCAUUCAAGGCUGAAACAUUUGGCGAAAAAAGCACAACCAAUGCGUUUUGUAGAUAUGUAGGGUAACCGGACAGGGACGGCUCUGCCCACUGCGUACAUUAUCAAUAAAAGACUGAACUCUGCUUUCCAGAGGUUAAAUUAUAACUUCAAUAUGGGAGGAUCAGCGGUACUACAAAGUGUAAAACAGGAGAUCAGAUUAUAGCCGAGCGCAGAGUACAAGGGGCGGGGGGCCUGGGGAAAGAGUAUGUAACAAGAGACCAGUGAGAUGUCAGAGAGGCUGAGGACAAGAUGGAGGAGGGAAGAGGACAAGAUGGAGGAGGGAAGAGGACAAGAUGGAGGAGGGAAGUGGACAAGAUAGAGAAGGGAAGAGGACAAGAUGCAAGAGUGAUAAGGACAGGAUGUAGGAGGGAAGAGGACAAGAGGGAUAUGACAAGGUGAAUAAGGGCAUAGGACAAAAAGGAAGAGGACAAGACGGAGGAGGAAUGAAGACGAGAUUUAAUGAUUAAAUAGAGGAGUGAGGUAUAAUGAUUCGAUAAAGGAGUGAAGAGGACAAGAUGAAGUAGGGAAGAGGAGAAGAUGAAGUAGGGAAGAGGACAAGAUGGAGGAGGGAAGAGGAGAAGAUGAAGUAGGGAAGAGGACAAGAUAAAAGAGGGAAACAGACAGGAUAAAAGAGGGAUAAAAACAAGAUGGAUAAGGGAAGAGGACAAGAUGGAGGAGGGAAGAGGACAAGGUGAAGUAGGGAGGAGGACAAGAUAAAAGAGGGAAACAGACAGGAUAAAAGAGGGAUAAAAACAAGAUGGAUAAGGGAAGAGGACAAGAUGGAGGAGGGAAGAGGACAAG